rnacentral:rRNA from 1 species
UACGUAGGGUGCGAGCGUUAAUCGGAAUGACUGGGCGUAAAGGGUGAGUAGGCGGUUGAACAAGUCUGAUGUGAAAUCCCCGGGCUUAACCUGGGAAUGGCAUGGGAAACUGUUUGACUAGAGUGCGUGAGAGGGGGGUAGAAUUCCGCGUGUAGCAGUGAAAUGCGUAGAGAUGCGGAGGAAUACCGAUGGCGAAGGCAGCCCCCUGGGAUGACACUGACGCUGAAUCACGAAAGCGUGGGGAGCAAACAGG